rnacentral:rRNA from 1 species
GACGAACGCUGGCGGCGUGCUUAACACAUGCAAGUCGAACGGAAAGGCCUGCUUUCCCUUGUGUAUUGCGGGUACUCGAGUGGCGAACGGGUGAGUAACACGUGAGUGAUCUGCCCCCAACUUGGCUAUAAGCCUGGGAAACUGGGUCUAAUUCCCGAUAGGACUGCAGGGUGGUGCCGGUGGUGGAAAACGAUUUUCUAGUGGUUGGGGAUGAGCUCGCGGCCUAUCAGCUUGUUGGUGGGGUAAUGGCCUACCAAGGCGGCGACGGGUAGCCGGCCUGAGAGGGUGGACGGCCACAUUGGGACUGAGAUACGGCGCAGACUCCUACGGGCGGCAGCAGUGGGGAAUAUUGCACAAUGGGCGGAAGCCUGAUGCAGCGACGCCGCGUGGGGGAUGACGGCCUUCGGGUUGUAAACUCCUUUCGACCGCGAGGAAGCCACCUGGUUGGAAGGGUGGUGACGGUAGUGGUAGAAGAAGCACCGGCUAACUACGUG